GACGAACCGUGCGAACGUUAUUCGGAAUCACUGGGCUUAAAGCGCGUGUAGGCGGAUGGGGACGUCGGUCGCUGAAAGCCCCCGGCUCAACCGGGGAACGGGCGCCGAAACGCCCCGUCUGGAGGGACGUAGGGGGACCUGGAACUUCCGGUGGAGCGGUGAAAUGCGUUGAGAUCGGAAGGAACGCCCGUGGCGAAAGCGACUAUCUGGGCCAACACUGACACUGAGGCACGAAAGCGUGGGGAGCAAACAGG
rnacentral:rRNA from 1 species